rnacentral:rRNA from 1 species
UGAACGCUGGCGGCGUGCUUAACACAUGCAAGUCGCACGAGAACGCUUCAGCUUGCUGAAGUAAGUAAAGUGGCGCACGGGUGAGUAACGCGUGGGUGAUCUACCCCCGAAUUGGGGAUAACCCGCCGAAAGGCGGGCUAAUACCGAAUGAUAUCUUGAAAAUUAAUGUUUUCAAGAUCAAAGGUGGCCUCUACAUGUAAGCUAUUGUUUGGGGAUGAGCCCGCGUACCAUUAGCUUGUUGGUAGGGUAAUGGCCUACCAAGGCUACGAUGGUUAGCUGGUCUGAGAGGAUGAUCAGCCACACUGGAACUGACACACGGUCCAGACUCCUACGGGAGGCAGCAGUGAGGAAUUUUGCGCAAUGGGGGAAACCCUGACGCAGCAACGCCGCGUGAGUGAUGAAGGCUUUCGGGUCGUAAAGCUCUGUCAAGUGGGAAGAACUCAUAUGGUGUUAAUACCGCCAUAUGCUGACGGUACCACUGAAGGAAGCACCGGCUAACUCC